rnacentral:lncRNA from 1 species
ACUGGAAACUCAAAUGUCAAUCAACUAGUAAAUGGAAAAACAAACUAUUGUAUAUUCAUAUGAUGGACUACAACUCAGUAAUAAAAAGGAAUGAACUACUGAUACAUGCAAUGACAUGGAUGAAUCUCAAAGUAAUUAUGUAAGUGAAACAAGCCAGAAACAAUAAAAAGUACAUUUUUUAUUCCAUUUACAUAAAUUCCAGGAAAUACAAACUAAUCUAUAGUGACACAGACAAGUCAAAGUUUAACUGGAGAUAGGAGAGGACAUUCAAGGAAGAAGGAAAAACAGGAUUAUAAAAGAAACAAGGAGACUUGGGGUAGGAUAUGUUCAUGAUCUUGAUUGUGGUGCUGGUUUCAUGAAUCUAUUCAUGUCAAAACUUAUCAAAUUAUUCACCUUAAGUAUGUGCAGUUUAUUAUAUGUCAAUUAUGCCCGUAUACUGCUGUAAAAAAUAUUCUUUGGCUCCACUCCAGGCCUACUGAAUCUUAAACUAUGGGAAUGGGGCCCAGCAACCCAUUUUUAAACAAACACUCCAGGUGAUUCUGAUGCUCAAUAAAGUCUGAGACCACUGAUUAAGGUGACAAAUUCCUACCAGAUGGUUGAAAUAAAGCUCUAGACUGGAGUACAAAUUUGAGAGUCACCUGCUUAGAGGUCAUAGCUGAAAUUACAGCAUGAGGGGAUUUAGAGAGGAAAGAAUAAAAAGCAAGAGGUAGGACCAGAGAAAACCUACACUCAGGAGACAGAAGAAAAAGAGGAGCAGGUGACAGAAGCAAGGAAGAAGGGGUCUGAGGUUUUGGGAAGAAAAUGCCACAUGAAGAGAUUUUUAAGAUAUGAGGUGAUCAACAAUGCUGAUACCAAUGUGGUAUUUGCCCAAGUGCUGUCCAGUUUUCAAAUCCUUUUCAUGCAUGUUGGUACAUUAACUGUACCAGGGGAGGGCAGACAGAUGUUGAUGAUGUUAUACCUGCUGGGCAGCACUAUCUACAGGAGAGCCAGGAUUUGAACCUGGACAGACUUGGGUGGAAUCUAGCUCCUUCACCUACUCAUGUGUACAUCUGGCCAAAUCUUGAACUGUUUUCCUAUUUCCCCAAUGAGGAUAAUUCUACCCACUAAGAAGGUAGAAUAUUUGUGUUAUGUAAAAUGCUUGACCAGAUGACUAACAAAGUUGUGUUUCUUUACACUUUCCACCUUUAUCCCAGGAUUCUUCAUCUUACAGAUAAAUUGAGGUCCAGAGUAGGUACAUGAUACACCAUAGGUCACAGGACUGGUAAAUACUCCAUUCUGGAAGUACAUUCUUGACUUGGAAUUCAUGGACCACUGGUCAAGUCCAUAGAUGGUGGGCCUCAGGAGUCUGUGAAACUGCUGAAAUCAUAUGCAGACUAGAUUUGAGCGUGUGAUAUGUGUUUUUCCUGGAGCAAGUAUUUAUUAUUUACAUUGGCAUUUCUUCAUAGAGUCCAGAAUUGAAAUGGUUAAAUACUUCUGCUCAAAGGUCAGUUUUAUUUAGGAGUGCAUGGCUGGCUCAGUCAGUAGAGCAUGUGACUCUUGAUCUUGGGGUUGUGAGUUCAAAGCCCCAUGUUAGGGGUAGAGUUUACUUAAGUUAAAAAAAAAAAGUGAGUUGUAUUCAUUCUUCCCUAAGUGCCUUGAUUUACACCCCAUAAUCCUCAGCCCUCCCUCUUCCCAUCAUAUAUCUUCUUCCAGAACAUAGUUUCACUACUUCCUUGCUGACUGACUAGUCUGCAAACCAGGAAACUUGCUUCAUGGUCUCAUCUCAGACCAUUUAUUCACUUCAUAAGCAGCUGCCAAUUACCUAUAGGUCUAAUCGGCACCAUCCCUCCAUCUCUCGUUCCAGAAAGGACCCAAACAUGGAUGAGGAUCCUAUCACAAAGGAGCUUAUAGUCUGGUAGGAGAGGCAGGCAGGGACAGUGAUAAACUAUGAUACACAUAGACAGUCUGUGAUGGGAAACAUGAGAGAAGGGGCACAAGCAAAGGUCUGGAAAGAUUGUGUUUGUCCUGGCCCAGCACUGAUCCUCAGCAAUCUCUUUCUCCCCAUGUUUGUCUAUUCAGAGAUGUACAACCCUCAGCUUCAUCUUUAUUCUUCAGGCCAUCACAAUUUGUCUUCCACCUACCAGUUUGAGGAAAUGCUCUCCUCAAGUUCAACCACCAGGAACCCCCUGCCCUCUUUAACAGAUUCUGCUGUCUCUGUGACACUGAACUGUGUUGGCUGGGCCCUUUUGGGUCUCUUUUCCUCCCUGGCCUUUGUGACAGCAGCAUCUCUUCAUCCCCCCUCCCCCUCACACACAUACCCUGUUUCUCUGGGAUCUCUUCCGUCUCUCACAUUCCCUUUGUGGGUAGUGUCCAUCGCAGUUGCACCUGCAGCCCACAGCUCUUCCCUUUAUGCACUCACUCCAUGGCCUCACCCAGGCCUACGGCUCCACUGACCUUUAUACAAAUGGUUCCUACACGUUUUCCCACCCACCCUUUCUCAGAGCUCAACUCUGAACAAUUGACUAGCACCUCCAGCUGGAUUCCUCAAGAAUCUCCAUUGCAACGCAUCCACAUCCGUAAUGAAUCUAUAUCACCUCCCCUGACCCAAAUCCAUUUAUGUGUUCCCAGGAGUCACCCAAACCAGAAAUCUGAAAGUUACUGUAAAUGCCAUCUUUUUCUUCACCUCUGUCAUCCAAGCCAUCACUAAGCCCUGUGAGUUUGACCUCUUAAAAGCUUUUAAACUAGGCUCUUUCCCACCUUUGCUGCCUCUGUCUUAGUUAUACCCUCAUCAUAGGUUUCUUGACUACUUGCUAAUGCUAUUGUGCUACACCUUCCAUGCUCUCCUCCCCAGCCCAGGCCAGCCCGUAAUAGCUAAUAACAACAGCCCAUCUUUACCGAGGCAUGACACACACCAGUUUUACCCAUACUACCUCGCUUCACUCCUACAACAACCCUAACAGGCAGGCACUAUUAUUAUCCCCAUCUUACAGACUAGGGAAUUGAGACACAUAGAGGUUAAGUCACUUGUUAGUAACACAGCUAGUAAAUGGAGGUGCCAAGAUUAUUCUAAAAUGCAAACAAAUCUUAAUUUUAUCACAUUUUGCCCUAAAAUCUUUAAGGGCUCCCCAGCCCCUUAAUACAAAACCUCAAAUUCUUUAUCAUAGCAAUGCAGACCUUCAGAUCUGAGCUCUACCUACUUCUGCAUCAGUUUUGCCUCUGGGUUUUAGUAAUGCUGUUCUUUCUACCAGAAACUCUUUUCUCUACACAUCCCCCUUCUAGCUGCUGCUUUUUUCCCCCCUCAUAACCCCUACCUAUUCUAAAAAGCACAUGCAUUGUCCCAUACAGGAAGCCUUCCUUGAAUGCCCCACCCUCCCCAGUUGGGUAGGCACUUGUGAUGGAUACUGUCAUGUACCACCCAGAUCCCCUUCAAUGACUUACCCCAGUUGCUGGGAGUGCUACCAGAAAGUCCCAUUAGUUCCUGCUGGAGAGUGGCCUCAGCUGAAGACAGCUGCCUAGCCCAAGGUCACACCUGCUUCCUGGAGCUACCCACCCUAUGACUCAUCAGUGGGGUGGGGGGCAUAUAUGCUGAGCCCUCUGGCUCCAACUUGGGAAAAAAUUGAAGGGCCAUUCUAUAUCCAGGGUGCCCAAAAGGCUGGCCCUGCCCAAUCCUGAUUCCUUCCUCUCCUCCCACAGGUUUUGAUCCCAAAAAGCUUUGGGAUAGCACCUCACAAAUUAAUCUCCAUCUCAGAAUCUGCUUUCUGGGGAAGCCCUCAGUGUUUUGGACUCCUCAACUAGACUCCAAGCUCCCUGAGGAUUCAGUCACACAGGGCUGGGGCAGUACAGGCGAAAGACAGUGAUCCCCACAAACCUCAGCCCCAGUGGUGUAGCUCUUUAAAUGUGGGGCAGUAAGCGAUAAACCCUCUGUCUCCAUUGAUCCCCUGGUCAUGGCUUCUUAACUAGAUAAUUCAUUUCUAGGUAGCCCUGGACUUCCUGACCCCAGGUGGCUCAUUAAUUUGGUGACUCAUGCUGUUCUCCAGGACACACUUGACCACCACCCCUUAGAAGCCCCCAAGUCAUACUCUGAAGCCAGAGCAUUGAUUUCAGAAGGCAGAAAAUGGGGAUGUAGGGCAAUGAGGUUCCAGUCCUCUGUCACAUACUGUGACCAUUCCGAAAAUGGUACUUGUACUUAAACUACUCCUGGCCAACAUAAUGUGGACACCUCUCCCCAAAGCACCAGCACUCUCAGACCUCACAUUCUUGAUUACAAACCCCUGAUUCCGGGAUCCCUGGGUGGCGCAGUGGUUUAGCGCCUGCCUUUGGCCCAGGGCGCGAUCCUGGAGACCCGGGAUCGAAUCCCACGUCGGGCUCCCGGUGCAUGGAGCCUGCUUCUCCCUCUGCCUGUGUCUCUGCCUCUCUCUCUCUCUCUCUCUCUGUGACUAUCAUAAAUAAAUAAAAAUUUAAAAAAAAAUAAAAAAAAAAAAAAAAAA